CUACGGGAGGCUGCAGUGGGGAAUAUUGCGCAAUGGAGGAAACUCUGACGCAGCCAUGCCGCGUGAGUGAAGAAGGCCUUAGGGUUGUAAAGCUCUUUCAGAUGCGAUGAUGAUGACAGUAGCAUCAAAAGAAGUUCCGGCUAACUUCGUGCCAGCAGCCGCGGUAAUACGAAGGGAACUAGCGUUGUUCGGAUUUACUGGGCGUAAAGAGCACGUAGGCGGAUUGGUCAGUUGGGGGUGAAAGCCCGGAGCUCAACUCCGGAACUGCCUUCAAUACUACCAAUCUAGAGUCCGUAAGGGGGUGGUGGAAUUCCGAGUGUAGAGGUGAAAUUCGUAGAUAUUCGGAGGAACACCAGUGGCGAAGGCGACCACCUGGUACGGUACUGACGCUGAGGUGCGAAAGCGUGGGGAGCAAACAGGAUUAGAUACCCUAGUAGUC
rnacentral:rRNA from 1 species